GGCCGCAAGGUUAAAACUCAAAUGAAUUGACGGGGGCCCGCACAAGCGGUGGAGCAUGUGGUUUAAUUCGAUGCAACGCGAAGAACCUUACCUGGUCUUGACAUCCACAGAACUUUCCAGAGAUGGAUUGGUGCCUUCGGGAACUGUGAGACAGGUGCUGCAUGGCUGUCGUCAGCUCGUGUUGUGAAAUGUUGGGUUAAGUCCCGCAACGAGCGCAACCCUUAUCCUUUGUUGCCAGCGGUCCGGCCGGGAAC
rnacentral:rRNA from 1 species